rnacentral:rRNA from 1 species
UACGGAGGGGGCUAGCGUUGUUCGGAAUUACUGGGCGUAAAGCGCGCGUAGGCGGCUUUGUAAGUUAGAGGUGAAAGCCCGAAGCUCAACUUCGGAAUUGCCUUUAAGACUGCAUCGCUAGAAUUGUGGAGAAGUAAGUGGAAUUCCGAGUGUAGAGGUGAAAUUCGUAGAUAUUCGGAAGAACACCAGUGGCGAAGGCGACUUACUGGACACAUAUUGACGCUGAGGUGCGAAAGCGUGGGGAGCAAACAGG